UGACGGGCGCGCAGCCGCCGAUGCCAUGGGCAGAUCCAGCCGGGUCUGUCGGCACCCAUCCCUCCCUUCGGCGGCCAUGAAGAACCGAAGAGGUAUGACCGGCGAUGCCAUGGGCUGAUCCAGCCGGGUCAGCCGGGUCAGUGGACCAUGCGGGCCUGCUGCGCUAGGAGCCACCAGUCCUCGUCAUCAACUAGAAUCCACGACAAAUUGAUCCAUAUGUAAGCUAGCUUCUACAAUAAUCCAUCGAACAGUCUGCUUGCUUGCUUGUUUACUAGUGGAAAAGGGAGCAAGAUGUGAGGCCGGCGUCGAGGGUACAUGCCCGCUGCUAAUUGGUUCUCCUGCUAAUUAAGGUAGGUUGCAUCCCAGGUAUUUUGAAAGACUUUAACACAUCCAAAUCACCUGAAUUUGCACUUGUGUACAGAGAUGAACCUAUUGUCUAUAAUGAAGAGUUAGUAAGGUAAGUUUUUGAUUGCAAGAGAAUUGAUGAUGAUUUUGCUUCAUGAUACUUAAUUACUUGGCUUAAUCUUUUGUAAGUUAGAGUCUUUUCUUCCAUAUUCCAAAAUUAUAUUUAUGUACAUUUAAUCACAUAACUGCAAGGUCCAUUUAUCAUUUACAGAUUCGAAAGAAGCAUAACUGAGUGGCAGCUGAAUUCUUCGGUUGGAUGAAGAAGCAAAUAUAAUUAGAAGAUUUAGCUUAGCAGUAACCAUAGUUUACACUGAUAGAUUGAGAAAUGUAAUACCAUUCAGGAGAUGUUUUUCUUUGGCCGAAUUGAUGCAAAUGUUCUGGUGUAAUAUUCAUCAUAGAUCUGUUCUCUAUUGCGAAAUUGAUACAAAUGCUAUGAUGUUCAUCCAAUAAAAUUAGUAUUUAUGUAUUGUAAUGUAUAUGUAUCCUACACUCUUAUAUAUUCAUAAUAAAUACCUUGAUAUUUUGAACU